UACGUAGGCAGCAAGCGUUGUUCGGAGUUACUGGGCGUAAAGGGUGUGUAGGCGGUUCUAUAAGUUUGGUGUGAAAUCUCCCGGCUUAACCGGGAGGGUGCGCCGAAUACUGAGGGACUAGGGUACGGGAGAGGAAAGUGGAAUUCCUGGUGUAGCGGUGAAAUGCGUAGAUAUCAGGAGGAACACCGGUGGCGAAGGCGGCCCUCUGGACGGAUACUGACGCUGAGACGCGAAAGCGUGGGGAGCAAACAGG
rnacentral:rRNA from 1 species